rnacentral:lncRNA from 1 species
GGGCCAGAUCGGCCAGCCUGUGAUCCCUACGUCCACAGCUUCUCCACGGGCACCAUGAUGGGUGUUCAGGGCCUGACCCUACAAAGCUACCUGACCCUAGGAGUCUUGGUAUCUCUUGCUCACUGUGAACAUGUGUUCCUAGACCAGCAGCAGGCACUGUCUGUGCUCCAGAGGGUCCGGCGGGCCAACAGGGGCCUCCUGGAGGAAAUGCGAGCAGGAAACCUAGAGCGGGAGUGUCUGGAGGAACAGUGCAGCUAUGAAGAGGCCUUCGAGGCUUUGGAAUCCACGGCAGCCACGGAUGCAUUCUGGACCAAGUACAAAUUUUGUGAAUCUGUGAGGACAACCUCAAGAGUUAUCUUUGAUGCCUGCCUAGAAGGAAAUUGUUCAGAGGGCAUCGGGUUCAAUUACCGGGGGAACAUCUCCAUCACCAAGUCUGGGAUCCCGUGCCAGCUCUGGAGGAGUCGCUACCCGCACAAGCCAGACCUCAACUCCACCACGCACCCUGACGCUGACCUCCGGGAAAAUUUCUGCCGAAACCCAGAUGGCAGUUCUACCGGACCCUGGUGCUACACCAGUGACCCUACCCUGCGGAGAGAGGAGUGCAGUAUCCCCAUCUGUGGAAAGGACAACAGCUUCACUGUGCCUCUGACCCCAAGAAGCCCCAACCUGUUGGCAGAAAGGAGCUCACAGCCUUGCAUCCCCGAUGUGGGACAGAAGUACCAAGGACACCUUGCUGUCAGUGCGUCUGGGGCCCCCUGCCUGCCCUGGGCCUCUGAGCAGCUGAAGUCGCUUCUCAAGGACAACAGUUUCGACCCUGCUGUGUCCCUGGAUAAGAACUAUUGCCGAAAUCCGGAUGGUGAUGAGGAGGGCCUCUGGUGCUUUGUGGCUGGGAACCCCAUUGGUCCAGAAUACUGCCAGGCCAGCUACUGCGACAGCCCCAUGGAUGAGGUGGAUGGAGACUUGGAGCCGGAGUCCGAGACCAUCGGGGGCCGGACCACAGUUCAGGAGUACCAAGUGUUCUUUAACGAGAACACCUUUGGUGCCGGAGAAGCAGGCUGCGGGCUUCGGCCCCUGUUUGAGAAGAAGGGGCUGGAGGACAACACUGAGAAGGAGCUGAUGGAGUCUUACAUUGGCGGGCGCAUCGUGCAUGGGGACGAUGCUGAGCUGGGCAGUGCUCCCUGGCAGGUGAUGCUUUUCCGGAAGACCCCUCAGGAACUGCUGUGUGGAGCCAGUCUCAUAAGUGACCGCUGGAUCCUCACCGCUGCCCACUGCCUCUUCUACCCCCCCUGGGACAAGAACUUCACAGUGGAAGACGUGCUAGUGCGCAUUGGAAAACACCAUCGCUCCAAGUAUGAACGUCACAUGGAGAAGAUCGCCAAGUUGGAGAAAAUCCUGAUCCACCCCAAAUACAACUGGAAGGAGAAUUUGGACCGAGACAUCGCCCUGCUGAAACUAAAACAGCCCAUCACCUUCACUGACUACAUCCACCCAGUCUGCCUGCCCUCCAAGGACGUUGUCCAAAAGUACAGCCUGGGCAUGGGGGGAGGUGCCUGGGCUCGAGGGGGAAAGGCAUUGCAGAAGAUGGGGCUGGAUGCUGCUGUCUGGGUUCUCCAUUUGCUCUCCCUCAUCUCCCUCUCUCCCCUCCCCAGGUUAUUCCUAUCCGGGUACAAAGGGAGAGUCACCGGCUGGGGCAACCUGAAGGAGACGUGGACCUCCUCGAGAGAAAACCUGCCCACCCUUAUGCAGAAAAUCAACCUCCCCAUUGUAGACCAGGCCACUUGCCGGGGCUCUACCAGGAUCAAAAUCACAGACAACAUGUUCUGCGCAGGCAAGUUUGUGGGGUGGGAGGAGGGGCUGGGAAGAGGAAACUCAAAGUCCAUUCAAGCAGCCCGAGAAAGAGCGGGUAGAAACCGGCGUGGCCUGCUGCCCGGUCAUCUCCACCCACGCGUCCUUGGAGAUAGGCAGAGUGGGUGAGGGUCUGAUUUCUGAAGCAAAGGACUAUCACCCCUUCUCUAGGGUACAAACAAGAUGAUGAGAAGCGAGGGGAUUCUUGUGAAGGAGACAGCGGAGGGCCUUUUGUUAUGAAGGUGAGUGUCACUUCUGGGUAGAUGGACAUUUGGGAAAGCAUUGGGCUUGGAAAGGGCCCUGAACAGAUCUAAAACUAGGCCAGGGCAACUGGAGCUUUGUCCUAGGGUUCCAAUAUUCAGAAGGCGUUAACAGCGUCAUUCUGGGUUGUGCUUCAUACACUCGAAGAGAGAUCAUUCUCAUCCCACUCUCUCUGUCUCAUGUGCAACAAUUAUUCUGUAUGGCUCUAUUCCCGGCACGGGGUAGGGAUGGUGGUUUGAAGAGGCAGUUACUAGGGAGGGUAGGUGGAGGCAUCCCUGGGACAUCUUACAUCCUGUCUUCUUUAAGAGCCCUUUCGACAAUCGCUGGUACCAAAUGGGAAUCGUGUCCUGGGGUGAAGGCUGCGACCGAGAUGGGAAAUUCGGCUUCUACACUCAUGUCUUCCGUCUAAAGAAGUGGAUACAGAAAACCAUCCAUCGACCUGGACUUUAGGGGCCCACCUGUAAGGCCCUAUCCCUGCCCCUGAGCAAGGAGCAUGAACUAGAGAGGUCUCCCCAUCCCCAAUGAAGUGGGAAGGUUUUGUGUUUUUUAUUUCUAAAAUAUCUAUUUCCCAAUAAAAAUCUUUCCCUCUAUGAGCUUUGGCUAUCC